GUAUACGGCCAUGCUACCCUGAACAAGCCCCAUGCCGUCCGAUCUCGGAAGCUAAGCAGGGUCAGGCCUGGUUAGUACUUGGAUGGGAGACCGCCUAGGAAGGCCAGGUGCUGUAGGCA
rfam:Pteropus alecto contig100731, whole genome shotgun sequence.